GACUAUUAUCUUUAGGAAGAAAAAUGUUUUGAAAGCAUUAAAAAGGAGUUCAAAUCUCCUAAUAGUCU
rnacentral:tRNA from 1 species